rnacentral:lncRNA from 1 species
CGCCGGCGUUGGCCACCCGCCGCCUGGGUGUGUGCCCCAGUGACCACAGGUGCCCCGGCGUCAGUUCUGGAAGAAACCUGAGAGCAGGGUGGCUUGGGUCGUGGGAGCCAUGGUGAAGACGAACAGUGUCCCUGACGGGAUUUGCCUAAGAGUAUUCAUUAUAAAAAAAACUUUACACUGUUGGACUUGAAGUCCCUAAUAAUGCUACUAUUCUGCAGUUCAAAAAGUGGGUCAGAAAGUUCCAUUGGGAAAAUGCAGAAAAUGAUAAACUUAUUGGAGUUCAUUGUACUAAUGGAAUUAAGAGAACAGGAUGUCUUAUAUGUAGCUUUUGGUGAGGCCCAGGAUCAUCAAAUAGAUGGAUGUGCAUGCUUGAAGAAUCUCAAAACUCGGCCCAUGAGAAGGUGGAAGCAUCAGGAGAGCACUGACCCCACUGAAAUUGAAGUGCAAGACAAGAAGGAGAAAGACUGAUCUUUCCAGAAGAUAAUCAAAGAAUACAUCCUUCAAAUGGAUUUAACUGCAGGAGACAGAGCUUAUUCACGCCAUAUUCUUCACGGGGACUUCCAUUUUCACGUGUAUUCCAAGAAGAUGGUUCAGUUGACUAUUAUAGAGGUAAAAGUAUAAGAGAUAUGGAACAGCACAAAAGAUCAUAUUUUUAACCUACUGAUUACAAUUAUGGUAUGCUUGUAGAUUGCGGAGCUGAAGAGAAAGGGAAUACUCUGAUUUACCAUCAAGAAAAACUGCAAUUGGUGCUGAGCAGUUUGCUUUAAAAACUGCCCACUGUUUAUCUGUAUUUGCCCCUUUUUCAUUGUUACUGGGCCAAAAAUCAUUUCACAACAAAAAAAUAACUUGUAUGUCAAAAGGCAACUUUUGUUAUUAUAAAAUUAGCCAUCAACAUCUUUUAAUUUUUUGUAAGAGUAUUUAUAAAUAUAAGGAAACUAACAAUGUGGAGUACAUAUAAUUAUUGCUUUUUCAAAACUAGAAAUCUAUUUGAUUUCUUGAAGGUCUGUUUUUAGUUAUAUAUGCUAAUGAAUUGCAUUUCUGGUUGCAAACUUUGUAAAAAAAUAAUUUAUGAUUCAUUUAUUCAUUUUACAAAUAAUUAUUGUGUGCAUAUGGUAAGAGAUUGUAGCUUCCACUGAGCAGGUUAAACAACAAAAUCAUAGUGUUUAAAAACCCAUCAUAACUAAAUUCCUGAAAGUGACUAGCUCUUUCAUCCCUGGUAGAGUGACAGGAGAAGGAAAAAGCCAUCCUAGACAGAGAUAAAAGAAACCAGCUGAACUUGAAUUUUUAAAGGUUGCAUGUAGCUUGCAUUAUGGUUCACCUACCAGCUCUUUCCUGUGGGCCUCUCCCCAAGAGCACAGCGGUAGUAUACGGAAAGCUAGAGGCAAGACAGAAGACUGGGAGAAAUCACUCUGAGGUACACAGGAUCUCACUGAGUGCAAGGGAGUAGCUCCCCAAAGGCAGAGGGCAGGGUAAACAGAAAUUUCCUUAGGUACAGGAAACUGACGAAAAAAGAAAC